GUGAUUAUUCAAACAGCAACAUGAAUAAAAACAACAUGACUACAUCACUUUUUGCUUUGCUUGCUUUGGUAGUUGGAGUCUAUGCUGCCCCAUUCUACAGUAGUGCCAAUAACGUUAUCCCGGAAAGCAUGCCUUCAAUAGCAGAUCACAGCUUUUCGAUUGAAGACCUGCCAAUCUUUGAUGUAGAAACUGCUGAUACCGCUGUUGAUCCCUUUGUUGAUGUACCUGUUUUCAACAAAGGUGGAUAAAGUAAUCAAUUUUUCAAAAAUAAUUGCUGGUUUGUUAUGAUUAUGGUCAAUCCGCUAAUGGUAUAAUAAAAUUCUUAUUUUUCUGCAUAA